UACGAAGGGGGGCUAGCGUUGUUCGGAAUCACUGGGCGUAAAAGCGCACGUAGGCGGAUCUUUAAGUCAGAGGUGAAAAUCCCCAAGGCUCAACCUUGGAACUGCCUUUGAUACUGGGGAUCUUGAGUCCGGGAGAGGUGAGUGGAACUGCGAGUGUAGAGGUGAAAUUCGUAGAUAUUCGCAAGAACACCAGUGGCGAAGGCGGCUCACUGGCCCGGUACUGACGCUGAGGUGCG
rnacentral:rRNA from 1 species